GACGAACGCUGGCGGCGCGCUUAACACAUGCAAGUCGAGCGAUAACCCAGGCUUCGGCCUGGGGGAAAGCGGCGAACGGGUGAGUAACACGUGGGUAAUCUGCCCUCGGCAUCGGGAUAGCCCGGGGAAACCCGGAUUAAUACCGGAUGGCCCAGCAGCUCUUCGGGGCGGCUGGAAAAGGUAGCUUCGGCCUCCGGCCGAGGAGGAGCCCGCGGCGGAUUAGCUUGUUGGUGAGGUAACGGCUCACCAAGGCUCCGAUCCGUAGCUGGUCUGAGAGGAGGAGCAGCCACACUGGGCCUGAGACACGGCCCAGACUCCUACGGGAGGCAGCAGUGGGGAAUCUUGCGCAAUGGGCGAAAGCCUGACGCAGCGACGCCGCGUGAGGGAAGAAGGCCUUCGGGUUGUAAACCUCUUUCAGGAGGGACGAAGCCACUCGGGUUAAUAGCCCAGAGGGUGACGGUACCUCCAGAAGAAGCCCCGGCUAACUACGUGCCAGCCGCCGCCGUAAGAC
rnacentral:rRNA from 1 species